GUAGGUGACAAGCGUUGUCCGGAUUUACUGGGUGUAAAGGGCGCGUAGGCGGGUUAGCAAGUCAGUCGUGAAAUGCCGAGGCUUAACCUCGUAGCUGCGAUUGAAACUGUUAUUCUUGAGUAUCGGAGAGGAAAGCGGAAUUCCUAGUGUAGCGGUGAAAUGCGUAGAUAUUAGGAGGAACACCAGUGGCGAAGGCGGCUUUCUGGACGACAACUGACGCUGAGGCGCGAAAGUGUGGGGAGCAAA
rnacentral:rRNA from 1 species